UUGUUUAAUUUACUUGCUUAUUAUGUAGUUUCUUUCUCUUUAUUGUCAGAAAAUUUUACUUUUCUUUUUAUUAUUGUUAUAAGUCCAUCAAUUAUCAUUACAUUUCUCUUUCCCCUUUUUUCCUGCCCAAAGAAGAAGCCCUAGAUUUUCUUGCUCUUUCCCUCGCUUUCUCGGGAAAUAAUUGCUUGCUACCGGUUUGGCUGCAGAUGAGAAUCCACUUGGUGUGGUCCUUGGUGGAAUUUUAGGACAAGUGCUAUGCACCACUGCUGCUGUACUUGAAGGAAAAAGGCCGACAUCUCAGAUAUCUGAGAAAAUUAUUGCACUCUCGGGUGGAGUUCUUUUCAAGUAAAUACUCUUAAAAUAAUAUUUGUUGCGUUCCCCUUGCUCGGCUAGCUUUUCUCUUCAAGUGCAAGUUUAGUUUGCCUUGGUGCAUGGUUUCAAUUUACCCUUGUGCAAGAUUUUUGGGCUGUCAUAUUUGGAAAUUUCACUUUGACAAUGAUUUUGGGCUGUCAUAAUUGGAAGUACAGGUUUUUAAGUUUCUCUUUUGCUUAGACAAUGAUUUUGGGCGGUCAUAAUUUAAACCAGAGUUUGCCUUGUUGCAAUGGAAUUGAUGCUGUAUAUAAGCUUUAUAUCAUGUGCUUUUUAUUCUCCUAGCUUGUAGUACAAAGCUCUGUUGUUCACAGGCAAAUAUGCCUUGUAUACGUCAUGUGUUUGUUGAUGAAGCUUGUUACGUAUUCUGUACUUUCAGAUACCAACUGAUUCGUUUAGAAAUAUGUUAAGAUAAGGAAAUAACUUGAAACUCUGAAGGUAAGGGCAUAAGUAAAUUAUAGGUGCUUUUAUUGCUCACCAGGUGUGCCCUUUAUUGUGCUUAUGUUCUUUUUCUUUCUCACUAUCAAAAGUGAUGUAGCAUAUUAGUAUACUACAAGUUGUUCUAUAUGUCAUAUUGAUAGAAUUAUCCUUGAUUUUGCUGAUGAUGUUUAUUGCAAAUAUGAAAGAAGUGUCUACUUGAACAUGUUAUUGGUUUAGGAACAGUUUUGUAAAUUAUUGUGUUUCUUCUUUAAUAACUCCAGUGCUUGUAUCAAGAGUUACUGUAAAGGAAGUAGAGUAUAGAUAACUUAAGCCAUUUUAUUAAACUCGUGUUUCCCAUUUACAUUAUUUUAGAUUUAUUGUUACCGAGCUUUAUUGUUUUAGAUUUAUAUUCAAUGUAUAUAAAUUUAUAAACUAUCAAUAAAAUAAAUAAAUAAUAGCAUGUUAUUAAAGAUAAAAUUAUUUAAACAUAUUAAAAAUAAGAGGCUGUUUAAAGUUAUUUUGGAGAGUUGUUAGAGCCAUUUUCUUCAACAAAUCAUCGUCCCAUAUUUUUUAAAGUUCUAUUUGGUUAACUUUUCCAGAUAAAAUGGUUGAAAAACAAUUUCUUCUUUUCUUUUGAGAGCUCAUUUUUCCUUUUGUUCAUGUCCAGCCUUUGUAAAAGACAUCACUUCACUCACUCUCCCAUGAAGCACUUGAGCAUUAUGAUUAAUCAGCUAACAAAAAUAUGUUAUUAUUAGAACAAGAUUUUGCAUCUAGAAAUAAAGAGAGAUUACAUCCCAUAAAUAGCAUUCUUUUUGCUUGUAAUUUGUUUGUUUGCAUAUUGACUCUGCUGCUUGAAUGUUGACUCUGCUGUUUGUGAGAAUUUGUUAUUGCUAUCAAUGUGUUUGUUAUUUAAGCAUUUGUUAGGAUGAAAAUUUUUAUUUCUGUUUCGCUUGUCAGAAUUUGUUUGUUUGCAUAUUCACUCUGUUGCUUGAGUUUGCCGCUGGAAUUUUGACUUUGCUGCUUGAAUUUACUGCUUGGACUAAGAAAAAGGGACCAAUCAUGUAUGGGAUGCUCACAAAGGUUAUCUUUAGCAUUCUUAGACAACUCUCUUUAGACACUUUUUCAGUAUAAGCAACAUGUCAGUUUAUAGAGCAAGUUCAAGAAACGCUCAUGAAAGUGAGCCCAAUUAGGAGGCUAACCCUCGGCCGAAGUGAGAAUUAUAGGCCAUUUAAAUUUCUUCUUUUACAACUGAACUAACCUAUUUGAGUUAUGACUAAUCAUUAUGUAUCAUUUUAUUUGGUUGACAAGUCUUCUUUUCCAAAAUCUCUUGUUACUUGGAUUUUCAUCAAAUUUUAGUUACAUGAUAAAGGGAAAUUAUUCCUUUUCAUUUCACAAUUUUUAUUCUUGUAUUCUAAAAUUUUAAUCUGAAUUAUAUAUAGAAAAUAAAUUCAAAUUUUAAUGGUUGAGAUGUAUGAAAUUAUAAUAUAUAUGAUAUACUUUUCGACGAAAAACAUUUUUUAUUAACUUUUGAUAUUUUUAAUCAAAUUACGAGUUUUAUAUGACAAGUUUGAUUUUUAUUUUAAAGAAAAGGUUUAUGGAUUGUAAAUUCGGUUUUGGACCUAGGAAAACAAUAUUGCUCAAGUAAUUUCUAGCCAAAAGAAAAACCAUAUAAUUUGAACUAAUAGAGAUUUGUGGGGUCAUUUUCUUGAAGAAAAAUAAAAUUCCAGCUAUAUAAUGAGAUAAAAAGAAAAUAUAAUAUCCAAUUUUAUUCCAUCAUUUUAUUAAGGAACUAUUUCUCAAUUAAUAAAGAAAAGUAAUGAAUCUAAAUUUAAUAAAAUAAAUUUAAUAGUAAUAACAGUAUAGAGUGAAUAAAUUGUUAGAAAUAAAAGUAUGGUGAUUAAACAGGUGGCAUGGUGAUUAAACAGGCGGCAUGUAUUAAGCUUAUCUAAUACAUUUUAAAUUGGUCAAAUUGUAAUUUCAGUCCCUAUACUACCUCAAAUUUGAUGAUAUAGUCACUUUGAUCAAUAAUACAAGUACUAAACUGAAUAGAAUCCAUACGUUUAACUACAACAAAUAAAUGGAAAUAAAUGAUUAAAGAGCCUACAACCCAUAAAAAUUUUAAAACGCAACAUGUAAAAACAUGUAAAAUUUUGUUUAAGACAUUAUUAUUUGCUAAACAAAAACCCGGUUUUGUUGAAUGAAAUUUGAUAAAGAAAUGAAUUUCAGGUUUUUUACUUGCAAAGAUAUUUGUAAUUUCUAUUUUGUGCAUUGCAAAAAUUAUUAAUAUGUAUUGUUCAUUUUUCUUUGGUGGUGUGCUAUUGCUUCAUCUUCUUCUUUGGCUUGCUUGAUUGCUUCCUCCACCCACAGUUGAGCUUUUUGUAUUCACUAAAUCACUGUAAGUUCUUUUGCAAUUAAAUUAUUUGAUUUUGUUUUAUUGUUAUUGAGAUUAGUAUUGAAGAAAUGUGACCCUUUUACUAUGGUUUGAAGAUAUGUAACACUUUAAUAUCUUGCAGUAAUGGCUCGUCUGCCUUUAACAGUACAAAGUGAGAGGCGUAAAAGUAAUAAUUUUGCAUGGACAAUAUGAUUGCAAAUGUGUACAUUUGCGAGGACUAAAUUGAAGGUAAAAUGAAAUUUAGGGGCAAAAAGUGUGAAUUUAAAGAUAAAAUGGGCUGGCAUGCAAAAUAGGAAAGAAGUGGUGCUGAAAAUGCAAAGUGUGGAAGACUUGGGGGUAAAAGUGCAAAGAAGAGAUUUUAUAAACACAAUACUCUGUUUAAAUUUGAAUUAUAUUAGGAUUAUUGUUAAGAUUAUUAUUUAGAUUUAAUUUUAGCUUUUAUCUUUAUUUAUAUUUAUUUAUCUUUUAGAAUUUAGAUAGGAAUAAACUAGGUUUUCUGAGUACUAUAAAUAAGGGAUGGAGUGACACAAAUUGCACUCAUCUUUCUGUA